UACGGAGGGGGCUAGCGUUGUUCGGAAUUACUGGGCGUAAAGCGCGCGUAGGCGGCUUUGUAAGUUAGAGGUGAAAGCCUGGAGCUCAACUCCAGAAUUGCCUUUAAGACUGCCGAGCUAGCAGGUGAGAGAGGUGAGUGGAAUUCCGAGUGUAGAGGUGAAAUUCGUAGAUAUUCGGAAGAACACCAGUGGCGAAGGCGGCUCACUGGCUCAUACUGGACGCUGAGGUGCGAAAGCGUGGGGAGCAAACAGG
rnacentral:rRNA from 1 species